CCUACGGGAGGCAGCAGUGGGGAAUAUUGGACAAUGGGGGGAACCCUGAUCCAGCGACGCCGCGUGAGUGAAGAAGUAUUUCGGUAUGUAAAGCUCUAUCAGCAGGGAAGAAAAUGACGGUACCUGACUAAGAAGCCCCGGCUAACUACGUACCAGCAGCCGCGGUAAUACGUAGGGGGCAAGCGUUAUCCGGAUUUACGGGGGGAAAGGGGAGCGUAGACGGGGCAGAAGGUCUGAUGUGAAAGGUCGGGGCCCAACCCCGGGACUGCAUUGAAAACUGUUGAACUGAAGUACAGGAGAGGUAAGCGGAAUUCCAAGUGUAGCGGUGAAAUGGUUAGAAAUUAGGAGGAACACCGGUGGCGAAGGCGGCUUACUGGACUGUAACUGACGUUGAGGCUCGAAAGCGUGGGGAGCAAACAGGAUAGAUACCCGGGUAGUC
rnacentral:rRNA from 1 species